rnacentral:rRNA from 1 species
AGAGUUUGAUCCUGGCUCAGAUUGAACGCUGGCGGCAUGCUUUACACAUGCAAGUCGAACGGCAGCGGGGGCUUCGGCCUGCCGGCGAGUGGCGAACGGGUGAGUAAUGCAUCGGAACGUGCCCAUGUCGUGGGGGAUAACUACGCGAAAGCGUGGCUAAUACCGCAUACGCCCUGAGGGGGAAAGCGGGGGAUCUUUCGGGACCUCGCGCGAUUGGAGCGGCCGAUGUCGGAUUAGCUAGUUGGUGGGGUAAGGGCUCACCAAGGCGACGAUCCGUAGCUGGUCUGAGAGGAUGAUCAGCCACACUGGGACUGAGACACGGCCCAGACUCCUACGGGAGGCAGCAGUGGGGAAUUUUGGACAAUGGGCGCAAGCCUGAUCCAGCAAUGCCGCGUGUGUGAAGAAGGCCUUCGGGUUGUAAAGCACUUUUGUCCGGAAAGAAAUCUCCUGGGUUAAUACCUCGGGGGGAUGACGGUACCGGAAGAAUAAGCACCGGCUAACUACGUGCCAGCAGCCGCGGUAAUACGUAGGGUGCGAGCGUUAAUCGGAAUUACUGGGCGUAAAGCGUGCGCAGGCGGCUAUGCAAGACAGAUGUGAAAUCCCCGGGCUCAACCUGGGAACUGCAUUUGUGACUGCAUGGCUAGAGUGCGUCAGAGGGAGGUGGAAUUCCGCGUGUAGCAGUGAAAUGCGUAGAGAUGCGGAGGAACACCGAUGGCGAAGGCAGCCUCCUGGGAUGACACUGACGCUCAUGCACGAAAGCGUGGGGAGCAAACAGGAUUAGCCUACCCUGGUAGUCCACGCCCUAAACGAUGUCAACUAGCUGUGUGGGGCCUUCGGGCCUUAGUAGCGCAGCUAACGCGUGAAGUUGACCGCCUGGGGAGUACGGUCGCAAGAUUAAAACUCAAAGGAAUUGACGGGGACCCGCACAAGCGGUGGAUGAUGUGGAUUAAUUCGAUGCAACGCGAAAAACCUUACCUACCCUUGACAUGUCUGGAAUCCUUUAGGGAUAGAGGAGUGCUCGCAAGAGAACCGGAACACAGGUGCUGCAUGGCUGUCGUCAGCUCGUGUCGUGAGAUGUUGGGUUAAGUCCCGCAACGAGCGCAACCCUUGUCAUUAGUUGCUACUUAAUGGCACUCUAAUGAGACUGCCGGUGACAAACCGGAGGAAGGUGGGGAUGACGCCUAGUCCUCAUGGCCCUUAUGGGUAGGGCUUCACACGUCAUACAAUGCUCGGGACAGAGGGUUGCCAAUCCGCGAGGG